CGUAGUUUAAUUUUUAUAAGUAAAUUGGAAAUAAAUUAAGGUUAUAUAAAUAUUCAAUAGUAAAUGAGAUCGAUAGAACUUUUUCUAAGUCUUUUUGAAUUUUUUAAGAUUCAUCAUACGUGGCGUUGUUACACCUAGGGAGGAUCCAUUAUAUCUUACAGCUCGAUAUAAGGUAACCCGUCAGGUUUCCAACCUAUAUACUUUGAAUCUUUAAAAUAUUUAAAAUAAAGUUGGAGAGAAGGUCAGCUAUUGUUGUAAUUUUAAUGAACAAGCAAGCUACAUGGUAAUAAACAUUCAAUAGUAAAUGAGAUCGAUAGAACUUUUUUCAAGUCUUCUUGAAUUUUUUAAGAUUCAUCAUACGUUGCGUUGUUACACCUAGGGAGGAUCCAUUAUAUCUUACAGCUCGAUAUAAGGCAACCCGUCAGGUUUUCAGCCUAUAUACUUUGAAUCUUUAAAAUAUUUAAAAUAAGGUUGGAGAGAAGGUCAGCUAUUGUUGUAAUUUUAAUAGACAAGCAAGCUACAUGGUAAUAAUACUAAUUCAUACUUAUUCAUACUCCACUCUCACCAGCAAACAGAGGCUUGAGUCAAAAAAGUAAUAUUUGUUAAGUAAUUUAAAGUGAAAAUGCAUAGAAAUAAGGAAAAGAAUUUAGCAACGAAACCUGUAC
rnacentral:lncRNA from 1 species